UAUGUUAUCUCUAGAUCUUUUCUUCAUUCCAUUUUAAUUCAUUUGUGUUCCUUGUCUUCAUGUUUCUAGGGUUAGGGUUAAGGUUCAUUGAUUCUAGGUAUCAAAUGCUGUUAGGAGAUGAAGGUGGUGGAGAAGCUCUUGCUGAUGACUCUCCGUUACAAGAGUUGUGCACAAGUUUCGAUGAAAUAAGUGGAGGAUGAGUGAUAAGAUUCAUAUGGAUGACAGAGUUGUUUACAAGUCUCAAUGGAGUAAGUGGAGGUAGAGUUCACGCAUAUACAGAUAUUGAGACCACUCGCAUACAACCAUAAUUUGCUCUUUUAAAAAUAUACUAUUAUGAAAAAUUUUAACGAGAAUCUGAAUACCAAUACAUCAUUUUGUCGUUGGUUUUGUAUUCGGAAAUUUUGAAUUACUUUUGUUGA